AUUUUCCUAGUAUAAAAAGUACAAAUGACUUCCAAUCAUUUAGUCUUGGUUAAACUCCAAGGAAAGAUA
rnacentral:tRNA from 1 species